rfam:Mesocricetus auratus contig023009, whole genome shotgun sequence.
AGGUGUGAGAGCAAUCUGGCUGUUGCAUCUGUCAUCCCAUUGAUCACCAGGAUUGAUUCAACUGAGGUGACUAGCUAGGUGGGUGUCCCAUUCCUCCCUCAGCCCUCCAUGUGAGUCUCUGCCAAAUCUGUGUGCUUGUUGGAAGAGAACAAUCUUUCCCAAAACAGGACUUCUAUCAAGGAUUUAUGAGUAGCUGCACUCCCUUGCUAGAAACAAGCUCUCAAACCACUGUAGUCUGUUCUUUAAGAAAUGCAUAAUUACUAGCAUCUUUAACACUGAUCAGUGUGGAGGUAUGAUUGAAGAUGGUACUGCAGGCUCCAAAGAGGCAUUGAACACGAUGCCAAUCUGCCUU